rnacentral:rRNA from 1 species
UGGUGGACGGGUGAGUAACGCGUGGGUAACCUGCCUCACACAGGGGGAUAACAGUUGGAAACGACCGCUAAUACCGCAUAAGCCAACAGGGGCGCAUGCUCUGGUUGGAAAAGAUUUAUCGGUGUGAGAUGGACCCGCGUCUGAUUAGCCAGUUGGCAGGGUAACGGCCUACCAAAGCGACGAUCAGUAGCCGGCCUGAGAGGGUGAACGGCCACAUUGGGACUGAGACACGGCCCAAACUCCUACGGAAGGCAGCAG